GCAAUAAGAGCCUGAUCCAAAGCCUGCUGAAGUCAAUAGAAAGCUUUCUACUGAUUUCAGUGGGCUUUGGAUCAAGGUCUAAUAGA
rnacentral:pre_miRNA from 1 species